rnacentral:rRNA from 1 species
UACGGAGGGAGCUAGCGUUGUUCGGAAUUACUGGGCGUAAAGCGCACGUAGGCGGCUUUGUAAGUUAGAGGUGAAAGCCCGGGGCUCAACUCCGGAACUGCCUUUAAGACUGCAUCGCUUGAAUCCAGGAGAGGUGAGUGGAAUUCCGAGUGUAGAGGUGAAAUUCGUAGAUAUUCGGAAGAACACCAGUGGCGAAGGGCGGCUCACUGGACUGGUAUUGACGCUGAGG